rnacentral:rRNA from 1 species
UACGGGGGGGCAAGCGUUGUUCGGAAUUACUGGGCGUAAAGGGCUCGUAGGUGGCCAACUAAGUCAGACGUGAAAUCCCUCGGCUUAACCGGGGAACUGCGUCUGAUACUGGAUGGCUUGAGUUCGGGAGAGGGAUGCGGAAUUCCAGGUGUAGCGGUGAAAUGCGUAGAUAUCUGGAGGAACACCGGUGGCGAAAGGCGGCAUCCUGGACCGAUACUGACGCUGAGGAGCGAAAGCCAGGGGAGCAAACGGG